AGCGCCUUUAUUUUUGCUUUCAUUGGUGUUAUCUGGGGACAAGAUAUAUGCUUCUUUUGAACCUUUUUGUGCCUGAUGAGUAUGUUUCUCAUGCUGAAAUUAUGGAAGUUGGAUCCAUUAGAGAUGACGAAUUCUGAAGAUGGUGCUUUAUACCUAUCAACAGAUAUUGCAACUUUUUGUGGUAGAACUUCCUUUAAUGUGGGUUCAUUAACUUUAAUUUGAGUAUCUAUCGCUCUUAAGUUCUUUUGCUAAAGGAUAAAUUAUUGAUACACGUGAGGAUUUUUAGUUUUUUGCUAAAUAGGUAGAUUUACUGGUCUACAAUGCCUACUU
rnacentral:lncRNA from 1 species